UGAGGAAAAGCUUCGGUGGAUGAGGAUGGAAGGAUAAGGAUUCUCCAUAACCAAGCUUGAGUGUGUGUGUGUGUGCGUGCUCUCUCGGGCUUCUUGUUGCUUGCAACUUGCCCGGUCUACUGUGCGCGACUGAUGCGUUGCUAGGCACGGGACUUGCUUAGUGGCUAUAGAUUAUAGUGCUGUAAAGUGGUAGAAGAAAUUGGACUCUGUCGUUUCGUGGUGUCUCAAAUCUACCGGGCAGAACGAUUAAGACAAGCAAAUUGAGUGUGGUGUGUGGUGCGAUGCGAGGUUGCAGGGAUCGAAUGGCUUGGCUACGCUGUCGUGUGCUUCACAACCAGCAUCUGAUCCAUGCGCUUUCCUCCUGAGCGGCAUCUGGAUUCAAAGCAUCUCGCACGUUCCGGGUAGUGUCUAGUGUUGUAUGACAUCAGAGCGCAGUAUCUGUGACGCGUCAUCACGAGUGCCCCGACGUUGAUAUAAUCUAACGACAAAGUGAAUCUUGCCGUGCCUAGAGGACCAGCAAAGAAUGGCACUCGUAAAAUUCGCAAGUGCGACUAAGUUAUGCUUCUACUGGAGGUGUCACUGAGAUCUGGCUCCAGUGGUUUUGAAUUCCGUCGGAGCUCCCUGGAGGACAAUCUUGAAUGCACGAUGGAGAUCCUAUUUGCGUAAUAGUGCCUCUGAAAGAACGUGAUCGUAUUGGCAACUUGCUGCAACGUUCAAGAGAAUCACACAUGAAAGUCCAAUUGUGCUUCAUUAAUAGGAUGAUGGAUUUUUUGUUAUCUCUCCUACAAAAGUUAAGAAUCGUUUGAUUUACUUCCCGCCAGGCCCUUAAAACUUGCUCAAGGACUUGAGUAUUGCACCACCAAUUGGGAGCAGCUUGCUGUACCCCCAGCAUGCAUAUCUACAUUUACUCGAGUUGAAAGUACUGCACCUCAAUCACAUAAUUCACAGAUUUAUUUCUAAGGCUCGCCUCCUCUGUCUAACUUGUGCGAAACCAGCAGAUACUUCCAUGGAAAGUGGCACCAACGUUCGCAUCCCUGCCUCCAUCAAUGACCCGUUGUACAGUAGAAACUCUGCGCAAAUUGCCUGAAAAUUUUUCUGACGCUUAAUAGCGUCAUCCUUUCGCAGGGCUCGAGGUGUGGGAACAACAAGAAGGAUUUUCGAGGUAUUAAACUGCAGGAGAUAGUUUACGCUACUGGAUCAGCUCGUUAAAUGGCUGAACAUAGUUGUCAGCUAUUAAAACAAGUAUGGCUUCCGCGCUGAAAACUUCAGUGAAUCUAUAUGAAUUCAGUUCCCAUCCCCCAAGCACGAUCCCAACUGAUUGAUAUAUAUAUAUAUAUAUAUAGAGAGAGAGAGAGAGAGAGAGAGAGAGAGUAGAAACUACAGCUCCCAUAUAAUUUGGCGUCUUGGUCGCAACUAACGCCCUGGUGUGGAUGCUCUUCUCUCGGACCAGGCUAUCCUUUCAAGUUGCGGCCAUUAUCACGUCCUUUAGGUUGUGUAUCCCCCUAAAUGAAUUUACUCCGAAGUAUCUCGUCACCUAAAUACUUGCAACAUAUCUUCUAUUCUUUGAUUUCACGGAUUCCCUGAUUUGAUGUCUCCCAGGCAGCGGAAUUUCAAUGUCGAAUCGGGAAGAAGUAGGCAUCUGAUGUUCGACUGUUCCCAAGAUUGAUGCAUUUUCUCGGUAUCAUUGGUACAAUACUUGUAUUCAUUAAUGCUGAAGAAAACGCGGAGCUCGAGGUUCUACUCGAACACUAGAAGCUCUAUUAUGUUCUCGCAUUUGGAGUAGUUGAAGUAGGCGUUCGUGAAGAAGUGAGGGAAUUUUGCUGAGGAACGCCAUUCCUUGCCGUUUGCGUACCAUGGAACGCCCGGGUGCAGAUGACCUGACGUCAACUUGUAACAAUCGCAGUCAAGCGCAGGUAAAUUCGAAGGUUGCCUCUGAUCAACCGCUUCCUCUGGAGCGCAACGAAAUAUUUUACAGCUGCAAUUUUUAUACGGCGUUGACAGAGUGGAAGGCAGAAGGGACAUGUGGGAAAUGAUCGACAAAUAGCUGUUGAAUUUAAAGAAAUUCGAGAGACAAGGGAAUAUUUCGAGAAAGACCCUGAAGAAUACCGCAAUCUGCUAUAUGUUUGCCUGAAAUCUAAUGGGUUCAGCUCUAGCUAUACAAUCCAGUCACACUCCGUUUCCUUCUGAACAACUCAAAUACGAAAACCUUAUUCAACUUCGCAGAAAAUGUGAGUAUAGGAGCAACGUUUCAAUAGAUCCAAAACCUAGGUCCAGCACCAUUGUCGACUCCGGAAUCAAAGCUUCCAUCCACUCUUGGCAACCGAGAGGUCGCCAAACCUUCGUCAAUACACGUAGUUCUAUUCACGAAGAUUAACUGCGUUACAAAAGACAUUGCAAGACCACUUCCGGCCAAUUUUUUCAAAACAGGAUUUUCCCAAAACAUAAUUGCGAGAUGACUGCUGCAUGUUCACAAUAUGAUGAUGCCACGAUGAAACGGUUGCACGAAUACUGCGGUACAGCGUCACUCACGCUCGUGAAUGCGGAAAGAUCUGCAAGAGUUAGUGACUGGGACUCGAAUGCGCAAAGCCCUCACAUGCAACGUGGAAGGCAGGUAAUCCGUAAUUUCGUCUAAAAUAUUAAUUAUUAACUCCUCGGAGAUCUAAACAAGAGUAACUGUCGUUGUUAGUGAUUACGUGACCCCAAUCUUACUUGUGCUUCAAACAAUUGUUUGAUGACAUGUUGCAACAGAGAAACUCUAGUAGUAAUUGAAUAAGAAAACCAUGUAGUAGGUUCCAACUUGCUUCCCGUAAGUUCCUUUGGAUUCUUUUAGUUGGUACCGUGCCAGGCCACUGCAUCGUGUCACGUCACCUGCUCCAAGUCUUUCUGUGAUUCCGAGGCUGUUCGUGAAGAGAGCAUCACACGUCGAUAACCCGGAUGCGUUACAAAGUAUCCCAUUUCUAGAGAAACGUCACAGCCACGCAUUUGUCACCUUGUGAGUUAGCUCGAUUGUUGGAUCGGCAGGAUAAUGGUGGAGGAUACUUUCGGAUCUGCUGAAAAUUUGAUGGAGUUCAAGAACGUUGGUGAUGGAGUUGAUGCAGGGACUGAAAACAUUUGUUUUGAAGAACAGGGUUUCAUCCGCAUUGUCUUUAUCUGAGUGCAGGUGUUCCUUCCCUUGUAAUGGAAGCCUGAGCUAUGUAAUCCGAUUCUGCGAAUAAUUUAGCCAGUCAUAGGGAGGGAUACCAUAAAUGUCAUCAGGGUCUUCGUAACUGCAUGCUACCGAACUUGUUGCAAAAUUCACGCGCUCGGUAUCUGGAAAUUAUAUGAGAGAUUGGUCUUUGCAAUUGUGAGUUGAAGAACCGGGAGCAAGAGCUUUACAAUCUAUUCCUCAAAAUGAAAAGAAUUAUGUGCAGGCUUGAGCUGGUUUUGUUCCUCUGUUUCUUCGCUAUCUUUGUAUGCUUCACGAGUUUUAACAGCGCGAAAUUUCUGAAACAUUACAACUCCAUCGUUUAUGUCUCCGAUGGUACGGGGACGAAAUUGUUAAAGAGCACACUGGCUAAUUGUAAUUGUACAGUUUGCGCGGCUUGCCCGCCUGCGGAAACAGUGGUUGUGGAAAAAGUAAUUGUUAAGGAGGUAGUCAAGAAAGAGGAAUGCGGCAACAAUGAAGGUCCAUGGUAUGCGGAAGGCAAAACAUGGCACUAUCCAGCAAGGUUCCCUCUCUGCUCCAUGGAUGUAUGCUUCAAUUAUACGAAAUGCGACAGCUCCGAGGAUCCCUUAAUCUUCACGUAUGAUUUGCCCGCUCCACCGAAGCGAUAUUUCUCCCGCAUCGGUGAGUUCAAGUAUUACACGAACGAUCCUGCAAAAGCCUGUCUCUUCCUCGUAUUUCUUGACGGCGACACUCCGUGGCCGCCGCAUCCGAGUACUCUACCAUAUUGGAACAAAGGGCUGAACCAUGUUUUGGUGAUAUUCGCGGACAAGUGGCACCAGAGAGGACCGCACCAGGCUUCAAUUGGCAAUGCAUCUGUGAUGGCGAGUGAUAUGCACGAGACAACGUACCGACCAGGGUUUGAUGUCAGUAUCCCUUUGCCAGGGCGCCAUCACGUGAGGCGAUUUCAGUCCGUGAAACCUCUUGAAAGGAAAUACCUGGCCACAUUUCGGGGGUUGCGGUACUUGGGACCGAAGGGGGAGGGAGUGUUCAGGAGUUUGGAUUCAUUUCGGGGAAUGCACAAUGGAAACGACGUGAUAGUAGCCACGUCGUGUGAGCAUAUGAUCAACAACAUGAUCCGGAAGAAGGAGCCAACAUUAGGUGUUCACUGUGACGAAGACUUGUUGAUACAUAAGAACUAUACUUUCGAUGAUCUCAUGAACACCACGUUUGGAUUAGUUCCGGCAGGAGUUCAACCAGCGAGCUACAGAUUUAUAGAGGUACUGAGCGCAGGAGCCAUUCCCGUGUUAAUAGCUGAUAAUUAUGUCAAGCCCUUCGAUACUUUGAUCUUGUGGUACAAGUGUCUCUUGCAAUUUCCAACCACAGAGAUGCAUCGUAUUGUAGGCACUCUCCGGGCCAUGAAACCGGAGGAGGUCAAGAUCAGGCAAGAAAACUGCUUGGCGAUUUACAACAAGUACCUUAAGGAUGACGAAACCCUGCUGCAAACUGCUAUUCAAGCUUUGAAGGCCAGAUUUCUUGGUGCUAUACCAGGUUUUACAGAUAUUACCAGAAAACGGUGAUUUGAAUUAUGCAUUGGACUCGGACUAAGAAUGUUCCAAAUGGUCGUUGAGGAAACACACUAGCUGAAGGCACUUGGCAAUUUUCAGUUGUGAUGUGAUCUGUAGAAGCUUGCAAUUCUGGCUUCGAGGUUGGUUCUCUUGCGACAUCUUCCCGCAUAAUGCAAUGUAGUGUAAACACUUACAAGCUGUCGUGUGCGAUCGUAGAUUCACUGUAGCUACCACAGCUGAUCAUCAUUGUUAAGAUCCUCUCCAGGGACAGCUAUUCAGAGACGAGUGCUGGAACUUCCGGAACAACGACCAGGAGCUUUUUUAACCACAAACAGACACAACGGAAUAACAAAUAGACAUCAAUUAAA